UACGAAGGGGGCUAGCGUUGUUCGGAAUUACUGGGCGUAAAGCGCGCGCAGGCGGUUCUGAAAGUCAGCUGUGAAAGCCCCGGGCUUAACCUGGGAAUUGCGGUUGAAACUACAGGGCUAGAAUCUGGAAGAGGGUCGUGGAAUUCCCAGUGUAGAGGUGAAAUUCGUAGAUAUUGGGAAGAACACCGGUGGCGAAGGCGGCGACCUGGUCCGAUACUGACGCUGAGGCGCGAAAGCGUGGGGAGCAAACAGG
rnacentral:rRNA from 1 species